rnacentral:rRNA from 1 species
CCUACGGGCGGCAGCAGUGGGGGAUAUUGCACAAUGGGGGAAACCCUGAUGCAGCGACGCCGCGUGAGUGAAGAAGUAUUUCGGUAUUUAAAGCUCUUUCAGUAGGGAAGAAAAUGACAGUACCUGACCAAGAAUCCCCGGCUAAAUACGUUCCAGCAGACGGGGCAAUAUGGAGGCGGCAAGCGUGAUCCGGAUGUACUGGGUGUAAAGGGAGAGUAGACGGUUUGGUAAGUCUGGAGUGAAAGUCGGGGGCCCAAACCCGAGACUGCAUUGGAAACUGUGUAACUGGAGUACAGGAGGGGCAGGCGGAAUUCGUGGUGUAGCGGUGAAAUGCGUAGAUAUCAGGAAGAACACCGAGGGCGAAGGCAGCCUACUGGACUGAAACUGACGUUGAGGCUCGAAAGCGUGGGGAGCAAACAGGAUUAGAUACCCUAGUAGUC